GACGAACCGUGCGAACGUUAUUCGGAAUAACUGGGCUUAAAGGGCGCGUAGGCGGGCUGACAAGUCUGGGGUGAAAUCCCGCGGCUCAACCGUGGAACUGCCUUAGAUACUGUCGGCCUCGAGGAAGGUAGGGGCAUGCGGAACUGUAGGUGGAGCGGUGAAAUGCGUUGAUAUCGAUAGGAACUCCGGUGGCGAAGGCGGCAUACUGGACCACCACUGACGCUGAUGCGCGAAAGCCAGGGGAGCAAACGGG
rnacentral:rRNA from 1 species